AUUGAACGCUGGCGGCAUGCCUUACACAUGCAAGUCGAACGGCAGCACGGGAGCAAUCCUGGUGGCGAGUGGCGGACGGGUGAGUAAUAUAUCGGAACGUGCCCAGUCGUGGGGAUAACGUAGCGAAAGCUACGCUAAUACCGCAUACGAUCUAUGGAUGAAAGCGGGGGAUCGCAAGACCUCGCGCGAUUGGAGCGGCCGAUAUCAGAUUAGGUAGUUGGUGAGGUAAAGGCUCACCAAGCCGACGAUCUGUAGCUGGUCUGAGAGGACGACCAGCCACACUGGGACUGAGACACGGCCCAGACUCCUACGGAGGCAGCAGUGGGGAAUUUUUGGACAAUGGGCGCAAGCCUGAUCCAGCAAUGCCGCGUGCAGGAUGAAGGCCUUC
rnacentral:rRNA from 1 species